rnacentral:rRNA from 1 species
UACGUAGGAUGCAAGCGUUGUCCGGAAUUACUGGGCGUAAAGGGCGAGCAGGUGGCACUACAAGUCUGAUGUAAAAUCUCCCGGCUUAACUGGGAGGGGCCAUUGGAAACUGUAGAGCUGGAGUGCAGGAGAGGCUAACGGAAUUCCCGGUGUAGUGGUGAAAUGCGUAGAUAUUGGGAAGAACACCGGUGGCGAAGGCGGCGACCUGGUCCUUGACUGACGCUGAGGCGCGAAAGCGUGGGGAGCAAACAGG